UAGCCUCCAUGGUAGCUCCUCCUCCCUUUUGCCGCUCCAUGUGCUAGCCUUGAAAAUGCCCAAUUAUAUUGUGUCCUUGCAUUGGUAUGUAUGUAGUUCUGAUCAAUCACACAAAUACCUAAAAGUAAAGAAUAAAACUAAAGUGAAAUUGCUAGGAAAAUGUCAAGAAAUCACAUACUGCUAGUGAGGGCAUCAGAAUAUCACAUUAUACUAUCCUCUACAAUGGUUACAUGUGAAGCAAAUUUGGAGGCAUAUACAACUAAAAAGUAAAUCAUUGUAUCAUGGAAAUGACAUACAAAUAUGGACCAUGGAAUAAAAUACUAUUGGAAGGUGUUUAGAAACUUGAUCACUGUAUCAUGAAAAUGAUAUUGCAAGAGCUGACCUUUCCCUUGGGCACAUUCCCAUGCUUUGACUAAAAUAGAGCAUUUGCAGUUCCUGCUUGGACGCUCACGUUCUUUCCGUUUACUCACUUCAUAUGCUAUCCCCUGAUCAAAUCAACAGCUAAGCUGAUUAGCCAGCCAACCAGCUCUACUUUUGCAGUUUGCAUUGAACACUCCAAAGGGAAAAUUAGAGGGCACCCAUGGCUUCAACGAUGAGGUAGUAACAGCAAGGUCGAUGAGUAGCGAGAGCAC
rnacentral:lncRNA from 1 species